rnacentral:rRNA from 1 species
GACGAACGCUGGCGGCGUGCUUAACACAUGCAAGUCGAGCGAGAUCCAUCCAGUGGCAACACUGGUGAAGAUCUAGCGGCGAACGGGUGAGUAACACGUGAGCAACCUGCCCCGAAGACCGGGAUAACAGCGGGAAACCGCUGCUAAUACCGGAUGCCCUCACCGGGCCGCAUGACCUGGUGAGGAAAUGGCUGAGUCUUAAUAAACUCAGUCCGCUUCGGGAGGGGCUCGCGGGCUAUCAGCUUGUUGGUGAGGUAACGGCUCACCAAGGCUACGACGGCUAGCUGGUCUGAGAGGACGACCAGCCACACUGGGACUGAGACACGGCCCAGACUCCUACGGGAGCAGCA